UAGUAGACCCUUGUUUGUCUGGGCCCCUGUCCUAGUCAUUACUACUUCUACAAUGUCCCCUGAGCUAUGUUGAUGAGGUCAUGCAACCUACCAAGGGUUACUGCCUGAAGGAGGCUCAAAGAGGGUCUUUUGAAUGCUGCGUUAUAGGGGGAUUCCAUCAGAUUAUGAAGAAUAUCACCACUAUCAUUAUUUAGCAUGGAGGGAUCCCUAUGAGCAGUAGAAGGUUUACUAUUCCAUGGGGUCUUACAGUAUGUCCUGUGAAGCUUAUUAAGGGACUCGAGCAAGGUCUAAGGAAGUGGCGUGAGUCUCUUUUUCGAAUAAACUCAUUAUCAUGUAGGACAUAAACUGAGCUUUCCUUGUCAAUCAAAAUUUUACUGAUUUCUUAGUCAUA